UCUAACUGGUCUUAAUUCUGAGGGUCAGGAAAUAAAAUCAAAGCCUGCCUAUUCCUGGAAUCCUGAGAUUAACUUCACAAGUCAGAAUCCUUGCCAGAAAAGUGCUAUUUACCAAAGAUUUUCAGAAGGAAUAUGUUAUCUGAAGUUAAACACACACCGUGAUCUUCUCCAGGAAAGAGCAGCUGACUUUGUGACUGGCCAUUUUAUCAGCUCAGCACAGAUUCACUGCCAACCCCACAAGUUCCAAGGAUUCUUCCAAGUUUAGCAUGUCCUCUUCUGGUUCUCAAAAAAUGCCA
rnacentral:lncRNA from 1 species